rnacentral:snoRNA from 1 species
UCUCUCUCAGGGUCACACCUGGAGAGUUUCCAGUACUCUACCAUUCACAGCUAUGGGAGGGAGAGUCAAGCAGAGGCCUAACCAUUCCAUUCCUAGCUUGGGGUGUGGCUAGCGAGUGGAAGGCAAUCUGCUGCAAGG